AUUGAACGCUGGCGGCAUGCUUUACACAUGCAAGUCGAACGGUAACAGGCCGCAAGGUGCUGACGAGUGGCGAACGGGUGAGUAAUGCAUCGGAACGUGCCCAGUCGUGGGGGAUAACGCAGCGAAAGCUGCGCUAAUACCGCAUACGAUCUAUGGAUGAAAGCGGGGGACCGUAAGGCCUCGCGCGAUUGGAGCGGCCGCUGUCAGAUUAGGUAGUUGGUGGGGUAAAGGCUCACCAAGCCAACGAUCUGUAGCGGGUCUGAGAGGACGACCAGCAACACUGGGACUGAGACACGGCACAGAAUCCUACGGGAGGCAGGAGUGGGGAAGUUUGGACAAUGGGCGCAAGCCUGAUCCAGCAAUGAAGAGUGCAGGAAGAAGGCCUUCGGGUUGUAAACUGCUUUUGUACGGAACGAAACGGUCCUGGUUAAUACCUGGGGCUAAUGACGGUACCGUAAGAAUAAGCACCGGCUAACUACGUGCCAGCAGCCGCCGUAACAC
rnacentral:rRNA from 1 species